GCAUUGAUUGACUCUAACAGUUCGUCCGGUUCAGACCGAGUCAUAAAGAUGACUCUUAAGAAUGUGACACGGGAAGAUGAAGGCUUCUACAGGUGUGCGUCAGUAAGCUGCAGAGUCCAGAGAGCUGGUUAUCAGUGAGACCGGACAGAGGAAACUUCACAUCAGAGGAGACUCCAGCCUCCACUGGUUCCUGGAAAUGGAUCUUUGCUUCAUGUGGGGUUCUACUUCUGAUCGUCAUUCCUUUGACUGUUUGGCUCGUUUGUCACUACAGGUACCAGAAGUUCUGCACUUGGAGCUGCUGGCCAGUUUCCAAACAGGAAGUUCCAGCAGGGGUGCUUCCUGCCACCAAGUUGGAUGUGAUGGAGGUGCAGUGGGACCUGUCCUGGAUGGAGAUGUCCAACCUGUUGGAAAAGGAUUCUUAUUGUGGCACUUAAAGGGAAACUCUCUUCUGAAGCCCAGAGACUUAACUAUUGGGUCAAACCUAUGAGAAAGCUCAGUCAGUGCUGCAAUUUGUAGUAUUUCAUGGUCACAUGUCAAAAUAGUGCUGCCUGAUAUAUUUUUGAAUUGAAUUAAAUGAGAUGUUUAGGAUUUAUAAGGAUAACUACAUUUGCUGAUGGUGCAGAUUUGAUAGCUUCCAAUACAAAUGUUAUUGUUU